GAUAGGGAAGCGAAGAUCGCGUUUAGUUUCGGCCUAAAAAUUUGGUGUCACUCACCCCCCAUCU
rnacentral:tRNA from 1 species